CCCGGCGUCAUUGAGGCAGGGUCAAUAUGACCCUGCAAGUUUUGCAUACGAAAAUUUGCUUAGAAGUAAUUGCCGCACACAACCGUCUGUCUCAGUAGCUGCAGCAAAGGAUCACCCCUCCCCUUCACGUACCUCACUUCAGUCGUCCGUCGCCCGCGCAAGGAGCAACACGUAUGUAAACGUGCGACCGGAACGUGAGCGUCGUCGAAUCUUGGCGAUACUGGAAGAAUCCUCAGAUAGUGAUGAAAAUGAACCUUAUGCAUCUGAUUUGGAAAAUGAAGAUCAUGUUAGUGUUCGUAGCCAGGAAAGUGAUACCGACCAAGAA